UUGCGACAAGGAUCGCAACGGUAUCCUUUUGUGGAGCGAUCUAGCGAGCAAAAGAUAAAGUGUAGAGCCUGGCUGUCG
rnacentral:sRNA from 1 species